CCUACGGGUGGCAGCAGUGGGGAAUAUUGGGCAAUGGGCGCAAGCCUGACCCAGCAACGCCGCGUGAAGGAAGAAGGCUUUCGGGUUGUAAACUUCUUUUCUCAGGGACGAAGAUAGUCACGGUACCUGAGGAAUAAGCUACGGCUAACUACGUGCCAGCAGCUGCCGGAAUACGUAGGUGGCAAGCGUUAUCCGGAUUUAUGGGGUGGAAAGGGCGUGUUGGCGGGAGCGCAAGCCAGAUGUGAAAACUCAGGGGUCCACCCUGGGCCUGCAUUUGAAACUGGGUUUCUUGAGUGCGGGAGAGGCAAUCGGAAUUCCGUGUGUAGCGGUGAAAUGCGUAGAUAUACGGAAGAACACCAGUGGCGAAGGCAGAUUACUGGACAGUAACUGACGCUGAGGCGCGAAAGCGUGGGGAGCAAACAGGAUUAGAUACCCGUGUAGUC
rnacentral:rRNA from 1 species